rnacentral:rRNA from 1 species
CCUACGGGAGGCUGCAGUAGGGAAUCUUCCACAAUGGGCGCAAGCCUGAUGGAGCAACACCGCGUGAGUGAAGAAGGGUUUCGGCUCGUAAAGCUCUGUUGUUGGAGAAGAACGUGCGUGAGAGUAACUGUUCACGCAGUGACGGUAUCCAACCAGAAAGUCACGGCUAACUACGUGCCAGCAGCCGCGGUAAUACGUAGGUGGCAAGCGUUAUCCGGAUUUAUUGGGCGUAAAGCGAGCGCAGGCGGUUGCUUAGGUCUGAUGUGAAAGCCUUCGGCUUAACCGAAGAAGUGCAUCGGAAACCGGGCAACUUGAGGGCAGAAGAGGACAGUGGAACUCCAUGUGUAGCGGUGGAAUGCGUAGAUAUAUGGAAGAACACCAGUGGCGAAGGCGGCUGUCUGGUCUGCAACUGACGCUGAGGCUCGAAAGCAUGGGUAGCGAACAGGAUUAGAUACCCCUGUAGUC